rfam:Oryza rufipogon genomic scaffold, chr07
AAUAAGCGCAGUUGUGGGUUUCAGUGAUCAACUUUGACCAUCCGUUUUAUUUGAAAUAUUUUUAUAAUUAGUAUUUUUAUUGUUACUAGAUGAUAAAAUAUGAAUAGUACUUUAUGCGUGAAUUAACUUCUAAUUUUUUUAUAUAAAUUUUUCAAAUAAUACGGACGGUCAAACAUUGUGCACGAAAACUUAUGGCUGCUCUUAUA